UACAGAGGUCCCAAGCGUUGUUCGGAUUCACUGGGCGUAAAGGGUGCGUAGGUGGCUUGGUAAGUUUGAUGUGAAAUCUCCGGGCUUAACCCGGAAAUGGCAUUGAAUACUAUUGAGCUGGAGGUUUGGAGGGGGGACUGGAAUUCUCGGUGUAGCAGUGAAAUGCGUAGAUAUCGAGAGGAACACCAGUGGCGAAGGCGGCUUCCUGGUCCAGCACCGACGUUCAGGCACGAAAGCGUGGGGAGCAAACAGG
rnacentral:rRNA from 1 species